CCUGAAGAAGAUUAAAAAUAUUAAUUACAAAUAUUAUUUGCGUGUAAAGUGCCGAUCGUAAAUGUCAUUCACAUUAUUAUGUGGAUAUAUGUACGUUGUUUCAUACGUAAGAUAUUGUCGUGUCAAAGUAGUCACGUACGCACGUGAGAUGACGAAGAGUAUAGGAUCAAUCAUUAUAUCGUCCUUCGAAUUUAAAUGAAGCCGAAAGAAGAGGGGUCAAGGAAGGAAACCCUUGAGAUUAUUUAUUACUAUUCAAGUCAUUGCUAUUCAAUUUGGUUCUUUUUUCUCUUUCGGAUACAAUCUCAGAUAUAGUUAUAAAGAAACGAAAAGAAAGACGAAGCUUUUGAUAGUGGGUACGAAAAACGUAGUUUAUGAAGCGUGAAGAAAGACAAAAUAAUUUGUAAGAACCGUUAAACGUCGUAAUCUGUUUUUACUGAUAAUCGCGGUCACGUAGAAACAAUUUAUAAUUGUGCACGAAACGACUAUAAAAGUUAACUCAUAGUAUUGUUGUUCAUUGCAAAUAGUCAUCGCCGAUGUCGGCGUGUCCAUCGAUUUGACCAAUCAGGUUCUACAUCACCGAGGUUCAACAUUCGUUCGACCAAUCGAAUUGUAAUCAGGCCAUCGCGCCCCUGACCACGCACCAAUGACGCACUUAAGUUGAAACUGGAAAGAACCAGAAGAAAUGGACCGAACUGGACACUACUGGACUUGAACUUUGCUUCAUUUUGCGAUAAACUCACACCAUCGGUAUAUGACGUAAACAGAUUUAUGUAAAAUUGUAUAAUGGAAGAGAAUGGAAAAAAGAUCUUCGAAAGUACGGGUCAAGCAAAAAAGAACAAAUCUCGCGAUCGCAAAGAUAUUCAAAUUUAUUCUUAUUGUAUUGGAUGAAAAAAUAAAAAAAAAGAAAGGAAAAUUAAUAUGACGAUAACGUAAUAAUAAGAACGAAUUGAAGUACCUUUAUAACGUUUCCCUAAGUGUUCCUUUCUCGAAAAGGAAGACCAAAGUGGAUGCUUUAAAACACUUAUUGACAAAAAGUUUUCUUCUUGAAUGAUUCAACUUCUGAUCUGUCUCCUCGUAUUCGUUUCUAUUACACGAGGAACUUGGAUAGACCAACGGAUAAACUUCUUGUCCGAACGUUGAAGUGCAAACGCGAAAGGAAAGAAGGAAAAAAGAUAGAGAAAAGAGGAUCGAAUUUGGAUGUUCGUUCGGUUGUAACACAGUGGUCACUUUGUUGAGGGGAUGAAACGCCAAUGUUCCAGUAUUUAUAUGGUAGACGUUUAUCAAGAAUUCCAUUGUAAGGAGGGAAAGAGAGCCAGAGAAGAAGAGGAAGAAGGAAAGAAAAACAAAGUGGGAGAAAUAAGUUCAUGUCCAUUAUCAAUGAAGGCAAUGACGAAAAGUAAUGAGCAAAGAAUCGAGCCGCAAUGCUUACUGUAAGAUUAGAUGACUUUUAGCCUGGCUAUCGAUAACCUUUAAUGAACUUUGUGACUAAACUUUGUAUCUUUUACUUUUGCGAAUUGUUUUCGUUAGACUUUUCUGUCUCUUAUGCGUGUACUAGGGCUAUGUACACUGCGCUACAAAUCUCUUAUGAAAAUUCUGGACGCUGUCCAUCACGCAGAGAGGAGCGAAGCAAUCACGUGGAUAGCUCAUUGCCACGAUUGUGUUUACUUCUUGAUAGAUUUCUCGAAAAUAAUGAGAUAUGAACACCAAUAUGAUUGCUUGUAUCAGUCCAUUUAUUCGAUCGAUUAUAAUAUAGAAUAUAUAACAACGAAUCUGUAUUACGAAAAGAAGAUACCAUUUUUUUUUCGUAUGCGAUAUUGUAGACUUUUCUGAUCGAACUUUUUAUACUAUGCGAAUAGAAAUAAGAAAAAGAUCUUACAUAAACGUAGUUAUUUCGUAAAUAUGGAAAAUUAAUUUCGAUUUUCGAUUAAUAAUUGACUAUUGAAGUUCUUAUCGUCACGAAAUUAAUAAUUCUUUUUUUCCUUCUUAUUUUCUGAUACCAUUAUUGAUAUAGCAUUUACGCUAUGUAUUACAAGUAAAUUAAGACAAUAAGUAAAGUGAAGAUAAUUUUAGAAAUCCUAAAAUAGUUUUGUAAUAAUACGUAGAAUAAAAUAAUUCAAUGAUUAAUAAUGAGUCUACGAAAUAUUUGUUCAAUGAUUAACGACGUUUCAAUAAAAAAAAAUAUUCAAUUAUUUAAUCAUCUAACGAAUAGUUAAACAUUUGUUUAACUAGUACGGACUAAAUCAUUCUUAGUAGAUCAUAUCUAUGGAAUAGUUAGCUAAUGUGAAUUUAAAUAUUGAAAUCGUCUUUGUAAACAUGUGACACGUAGUGAUUCGAAAUGAAUUUUUGUUUGCUUUUUAAAAUUCGUAAAAAUUUAAUCGUUCGAUAAUAUCUUCUAAAAAUACUUUGAUUCUUGUUUAUUCAUAUUUUUUUGUUAUCAUGUAUGCGUAGGAAGCGAUCUCUCGUAUUUGAUCAUCUGUUGUCGAACUUAAGCCGCCACCUUGACUGCUCUUUUAGUAGUAGCGUCAAUGCUAUGUCAAUGGUGGUAUCAGCGAAGUUCACUAUGUGGACCGUACGUUAAUCGAAUUAUACGCGAUAAAUCAAAAAUUUGUGUUAACUGCGUAUACAAUGCGAUACAUAGAAGUUUUCAUUCGGUCGAACAAUAUUCGUGUUUAUGCAAAUCAGUCGAUAAUCGAUACACCGUCUAUCGAGAUUUGAAACUCUCGCGUUUCUUGCAACUGUAAAUGUGGAAAAACGUUACGUCAGCUCAAUGUGUAUUAUAUAAAAAUAUACACACAAAUAUAUAUAUAUCUUAUAUUUCACGGAGGACUUUCUAAAUAAAUAUCGAACUUGAUAGGCAAGUUCGAGAGACAAGCUAUCCGCUUAUCUAGGCUGACGGUAGAAACUUGCAAAUCGGUUGUAAAAUCUGUAAAUAUGUAAUACAUCGACUUUCACAUUGAUACGGUUAUUAUAUAUACAUACUUAUAUACAUAUAUAUUUGCAUAGUUUAUAUAAACAUGCAUACACAUAAAGAUUUUCGGUAACAUGAACAUUUUGAAAUAAUUAGGGGAAAACGGAUCGUCUUUAUGAACAAACGCGAUCAAGAUGCAUCACGUGAAUUACCAUAUAUAUAUAUAUAUAUAUAUAUAUAUAUAUAUAUUUGUGUGCGUGUGCGUGUUUGUGUUUGUAUUAAUAUAUUAUAGCGGAAACGAGAGAUUCAUUAUUGUCUGUUUAUCGCGAAAAACGAGCGUCGCUAAUGCGAUCUAUCCUCGUCCGAUAUUCCGUGAAAUCGAAUAAGUACGAGAGAACGGCAUGAUCAAGCACGUCAUAGAAAAGUAUCGUCGUAAAUCAGAUAACUGGUGUUGUUGGCUAUCCUACUCCCACUACAACGAUUCAUUCUAUACGGAUUGUUUCACGCGAAGAAAACGAGCGAGACUCGUUGUUUUCCUAUCUUUGUCAUUAGAUUUAUGAUCUAUCUUCGUCGAGUGUUCAUAAUAGAGAUGAAAAGACGGGCCAUACGCCCAUGAAACGAUCUUGUAACGAUUUCACUUCUGCUCCAUGUUCUUGGCACGCGUAACGAAGCACUACCACGUGCUACGAAGCAUGAUGAUGUUCUAUACGAAUAAGAUCCUUCCAAUUGUCUUUUUUCUCUUUCUCUCUCUUUUUCUCUCUCUCGCCCUCUCUCUCUCUCUCUCUCUCUCUCUCUCUCUCUCUCUCUCUCUCUCUUUGAUAUCUUUAUUUUGUAAUGAAAAUGUAAUUUUCAAAAGUUGACAUUUAUCUACUAGCAUAUAUCAUCCAAUCUAUUUCAAUGUAUACUUAGUAAGAGACUGUUGACAAGAAAAGUGACAUUUCUCAAAAAUGAUUUAUAUUUUAAAAAUUGCGUAUUCGAACUAAUUAAUUUAUAUUAACUCAUAUCUCUAUAAAAAAAAAAUUGGAAAUAUCAAAUAAAUUUGUACAAAUAAUCGAUCAGAAAUAUCUGAUUAUAAUACACUACGUAUUAAUAAUGCGUCGUAUAUAUAUUACGCGAUAUAAUAUAUAUGUACAUACAAGUGUUGUUAAAAAAUGUGUGUCUGAUUGAUUAUCAAAUAUGAAUUAAUUUGUACCGCACUAAUGAAAAUGGUUAAAACAUCUUUAAAACUAUUGGCAUCCAGAAACAUGAUACAUCUAGUAACAACGAUGAAUUAUAAAUUCAUUUGUGAAUUGCAUUUCGUGAAUUACAAUUAAUUCACUCGAAGAAUAUCUAAUUCACUAUGUUUUCGUUAAAUCUUUUUAACAUAGAAUUUAGUUUAGAAUUCAGAUUACUCGUGAUUCAGAUUUCUCUUGCAAAAACGUAAUGUGUUGAGAAUUUGUAGCUAACAAAAAUUGUCUAAAUGAAAUCUCGCGUGUUUCGUAGGCAGGAGAAUGACGACGAUAGUAUAGUUGUGCUUUUCUCAACGGCAUUCCAUCGAAGUAAAUCAUUCGAAAAAGAAGAAGAAGAAGAACCAACAAACGAUUGAACGAAUGAAUGAAAUAAGAAAGCAGGGUAAAUAUAAGUACGAAAAGACAAAGUGCACGCCGUGCAUCGAAAGCUAUGACUCUAAUAAUGUAUGGCACGCGACAAUGUACCACGGCAAAACGUUCUCUUAUUUAUUUAUUUCUUUAUUUAUUUUUUCGUCAGAGAAAAAGAGAGAGAAAGAAAGAGAAAAAACUUUUCCGUCCGAGACAUCCUAAUCCCUCAUAAUAUAGUAUUUUGUUAUAAAUAUCUUCUCUCUUGAAUCCUUCCAAUAAUAGAUUUUUAUAUUUCUUAUCGUCAUGGAUAUCGAUGCGAAAUAUAAAACGACAUUUUUUGUCUUCUAUUUUUUUUUUUUUUUUUUUACUUUUACUAUCGCAACAGGGCAAUGAACUACUUGGGCGAAUUUGUAUGCGUUGAAGAAGCGAGGUAACUUGAUAUAGACAUUAGAGCAACAAUUGAUGACGUACCAGCGGCGUAGAUGCUUGUGGCCCUUGAAGCAUUUUAGCGCUGCGUCCAUGACAGUCAACGUAGUCAUGAGUUGGUUGCACUGAACUCAUCUUGGAGUAUAAUUUUUUUAAAUUACUUUAAAAAAUAGCUUGAUAUAUAUAUAUAUAUACACACGAAUGAGUGUAUAGUAUAAUUAUAUAGUCGAUUCGUUAUUCAAAUGCUAGAACUGAUUUUC